rnacentral:rRNA from 1 species
UCCUCCCUCUUUCCUCGUGCUUAACACAUGCAAGUCGAACGGAAAGGCCCUGCUUUUGUGGGGUGCUCGAGUGGCGAACGGGUGAGUAACACGUGAGUAACCUGCCCUUGACUUUGGGAUAACUUCAGGAAACUGGGGCUAAUACCGGAUAGGAGCUCCUGCUGCAUGGUGGGGGUUGGAAAGUUUCGGCGGUUGGGGAUGGACUCGCGGCUUAUCAGCUUGUUGGUGGGGUAGUGGCUUACCAAGGCUUUGACGGGUAGCCGGCCUGAGAGGGUGACCGGCCACAUUGGGACUGAGAUACGGCCCAGACUCCUACGGGAGGCAGCAGUGGGGAAUAUUGCACAAUGGGCGGAAGCCUGAUGCAGCAACGCCGCGUGCGGGAUGUCGGCCUUCGGGUUGUAAACCGCUUUCGCCUGUGACGAAGCGUGAGUGACGGUAAUGGGUAAAGAAGCACCGGCUAACUACGUG